UCGUCUGCGAUAACUUCUUCACUCAACUUAGUACCGACUACAUAAAUAUAUCUAAUAAAUGUUCAUUUCACAGUUUAGUAACUUUGAACAAACUUCACCGUGUUUCUUUUCGUGAAAAAAUAGUGUUUGUUUACUAUUAGGUAGUAGGUCUAGGUACCUAAAUGUUAAAUUAUCACUUAUAAUCAUACCUGAUAAAAAUUUGAAAUGCUUUGUUUGAAGAGUGUGAUUCUUGUAUUUAUUCUAAUUUGUUCUACUGUAUUGUUAGCGGGAAACUGUGGUGAGCCGUCAGGUGGAUUGACUCAUGAUGAAAUAGAAAAUUUGCCAGAACGUGUAAAAACAGAAUACAAGAAAGUAGUGCUAGAAAAUAAUGACCUCAAACAAGAAAGAAAUGACCUCAAACAAGAAGUCGAUUAUUUCCGAUAUUACUUAGGUUAAUUAAAUAUAGUCACUCAUUCUAUUUUAGUGGAUAUCGUGGCCCUACCCCCCCGAAUCCGAAAAAAGCUACUCGAACAGAUUCGCCUCAGAAGAAAAAACUUCGAAAAACUUCCACCUUUGAAGAUUGGUUUAUGUUGCAUUUGCGACAUAUACUGGGUCGACAUAACCUUUGACAAGCACAGUGGAGUGGCCUUUAAAGGGCCACACAUGGUUCUGUUAAGACAUUUUUCCAUAACUUAUAACGGAGGGAAGCCCGACCACAUCGCGGUGUUCGGUUAUCCGAUUAGCUCCGCACCAGAUAGAUUUAUACCUUCCUCCAGAAUUUUAACUUUCAGACUUCUCCUUUGAUAAGGACUACAGACUUACAAAAAGGUCAUAUCUAUAUAACCAACUUUUGCAGUUUGACAGUAGAAUUCUACUGUCAAACUGCAAAAGUUGGUUAUAUAGAUAUGACCUUUUUGUAAGUCUGUAGUCCUUAUCAAAGGAGAAGUCUGAUGUUGUGUUCGGGUCAUACCGGAACCUGGCUUUGUUGGCCGGCUUAAUACAACAAUGUGCACAUAUAUCAAGCAAAUCCCAAUAGAUAUUAACCGCAAUGGGAGAUCCCAUCUAUUCGACUUCAUCUGGGCUGAAUAUAUGAUAAUUAAAAUAAUUUUCUUGCGCCUGUGUUAAAACGACAUACCAAUCCUGAGCUGCGUUCAUUUUGAAAUACUAAAAAAUACCAUAUCUAGGUUUUGGAUGGUUUAUUUUUUGCGCAUUUUUUUUUACUCAGCACUCCUAAAGUUGUUUAUUUAUUCUCUAUGACCUUUUUUUGUCUUUUUACUUCAUAAUUUAUGUUGUGCAAGCCUACGCUGAAUGCCUGAAAAAUUCCUUAUGAAGAAUCCUUGUAUAUACAAUUUCAUUUACUUUUAUCUGUUCUUUGUAAAUUGAUACCUACAACUGCUGUUUAAUGUAAUUCAUAAAAUUAAAUAUUUGAUUUUAUCGCA